rnacentral:rRNA from 1 species
GACGAACGCUGGCGGCGUGCCUAACACAUGCAAGUCGAACGGAACACUUGUUUUCGGAUGAGUGUUUAGUGGCGAACGGGUGAGUAACGCGUGAGUAACCUGCCUUUCAGAGGGGGACAACAGAGGGAAACUUCUGCUAAUACCGCAUAACGUGUCGAGGGGGCAUCCCCUUGACACCAAAGAUUUAUCGCUGAAAGAUGGACUCGCGUCUGAUUAGAUAGUUGGUGAGGUAACGGCUCACCAAGUCUGCGAUCAGUAGCCGGACUGAGAGGUCGAACGGCCACAUUGGGACUGAGAUACGGCCCAGACUCCUACGGGAGGCAGCAGUGGGGAAUAUUGGGCAAUGGGGGAAACCCUGACCCAGCAACGCCGCGUGAAGGAAGAAGGCUUUCGGGUUGUAAACUUCUUUUGUCAGGGAAGAUAAUGACGGUACCUGACGAAUAAGCCACGGCUAACUACGUGCCAGCAGCCGCCGUAA